CAAUAGCGUAUAUUAAAGUUGUUGCAGUUAAAAAGCUCGUAGUUGGAUUUCUGGGUCAAGCUCCCGGUCCGCCACAAAGUGGUGCUGACUGUGUGUAGCGUUGACUCAUCCUUGUGGGAAAGUUAGUUAGGCCUUCGUUGGUCGGCUAUCGGAACCGCAUCAUUUACUGUGAAAAAAUUAGAGUGUUCAAAGCAGGCUUUCGCUAUGAAUACAUUAGCAUGGAAUAAUAAGAUAGGACUUUGGAUCUAUUUUGUUGGUUGGAGACCAAGGUAAUGAUUAAUAGGGAUAGUUGGGGGUAUUCAUAUUUAAUUGUCAGAGGUGAAAUUCUUGGAUUUAUGAAAGAUGAACUUAUGCGAAAGCAUUUACCAAGGAUGUUUUCAUUAA
rnacentral:rRNA from 1 species